UUGCGACGUGUCUCGUCAUUGGCCACUACCUUGUUGGGAGGAGCGCCGAGGGGCGGAGAAACGAAGUAGGAAAACCUAUUUUAACCAAGUUUGAGCCGUUACCUCUGUUUGCCAGUACUGUGUGGAAACGUUGGUACCGUGGAGGCCUGGAUGCUAAAACAAACUCUGGAGCGGCUUUUUGUCGUUUAUGAAGAGGUUUGGAUGCUAAAACAAACUCUGGAGCUGUUUUUUCGUCGAACACGAUUGAGACUGGACGCUGAACACACCUACGGCGCGAAGGUUUACUGGUUCAGCUGCUGCAGCCUGGACAGAAACACCAGAUCUCAGCAAACAAACCAAACAGUUGUCACCAUUUCAUCCACAAUCAAAGAGUCUUCGUACAAUGAAGAAGUUCUUUGAGACCAGGACAGAGGCAUCCAGGACUCAAACUUGAACCAUUAAAUCACAGCAAGAAGAGACAGAUGUGAAGACAUUUCUAGAAGGUCUUCAGCUGCUCUCAUCUUCUCCUGCAGAGACAAGAACGUCACAGAAACUGAUCAGUAAAUCUACAUAUUUAUAUGAGAGACUGUCCUGACAUUUUUCGAUGUUUUUAUGCUUUGUAGGUUAGGUUAGAUUUUCGUUUGGAUAUUUUGCUAUUUCAAAACAGUGCAAUACCAGUACUCAAAUCCAAUCUACUACUGUGUACAUAGUCCUGUUUAUACUGUACAUAUUAGUACAAACUGUAGUAUAUUAGUAUAACUUGUAUAUAUUAUUACAUAUUGUUUUAGAUCUUGUCUUUUUUUAUAUAUAUAUAAUGCCCUUUUCUACUAUACUAUGUUGCAACAGCUUACUCAAAUAAAU